GAAAUUAUGGCUACCUCUGCUGUGUCACAUAGGUUGCCAAGGAAGUGGGAGAAAGCCAGCAGCCACAAGCCUCACCCAGCUCCCAUGGAGCCUGCAGCCUGCAGCUUGAAAGGCCAGCCUCAUUCCCACUGUGCCCCCACAACAGCACCGAAGCACCGAGUUUAUUUCCAGGCAGGCAGUGAGCAGGGCUGAGAAAUUGCCCCAGGCUACAAGCCUCCCAGCUGAGAAAGCAAGCAGACUCACAGUUCCUUGGCUGUCCCAUGCAGCCUGCAGCAGCAAUCCACCCCCUUUAAAGUGUCUGUGGAUUCUUUCAGCUUUUUUGGUAUGUUCCUAUGGUAGUUCUUGGGGCAAAAUUUCACAGUGUGAGUCUCCAAAUGCUGCUUUGUCUGUUCAAGUGGGAACUGCAAGUUAGUCCUGCUUCCUAUCUGCCAUUUUUUCCCGGUCUGUCUACAUUUUUAUACAGUUCAUCUUUUACAUGCUAGUAAAAGUAAUACUGUGCUUUAAAGUUUUUUUUGUUUGUUUGUUUGCUUGCUUGUUUGUUUUUAAAUAGGAAGGAGAAUCUGAUGUUUUUUGUUUGUUUGUUUGAGACAGAGUCUUGCUCUGACACCCAGGCUGGAGAGCAGUGGUACAAUCUUGGCUCACUGCAACCUCUGUCUCCCAGGUUCAAGCAAUUCUCCUGUCUCAGCCUCCCGAGUAGCUGGGAUUACAGUCAUGUGCCCCUGUGUCCAGAAUUGGUUCCUUCUGGUGGGUUCUUGGUCUUGCUGUCUUCAAGAAUGAAGCCGUGGACCCUCGUCAUGAAUGUUACAGUUCUUAAAGAUGAAGAGAACAGCAUCAGGGCACAUUGAGGCUCAGAAAUUUAUAUUCCAAGAAGAGGUGCACAGGAACAGAGCAGAUCCAAAGCAGACAACCACCUGGAAGCAGUCAUAACAACAGCAAUAGCAAAUCAAUGCUGAUAAAAGAAAUCAAGUACAGAGAGUUUUAAGGACAUUGUCCAAAGUUGUACAAGGGCACCAUUUUUAAAAGUUGACAACCUCCUGCAGGGAUGUUCUGAAAGACAGAGACAUCUUGUCGGAAUUAUGAAUGUCCUUGGUGGAUGAGGCAGAAAGAGUUGACUGUGUAGGACAUUCCUGACAAGUCCUCAGGAUUUGAAAUGACUCCAACACUAAGCAUUCACCUGGAGAUAACCUACAGAGAUACUCUGUGUUACCCACAACUAGUCUGUUGACUAAGUUGGUGAAUAUAUUUGGGAAAAGCCCAUGUGGAAGAAUGGAAGCCUGCAUUAUCUUUCUCAGAGACAGACAGGAAGGUGACUCUAUGGAAGACAUCAGCGAUAAACUAGGAAGGAGUGACACGAGAAUACAAGAAGGUUGUGGUCUAUAGGCCAAGAAGAGAGCCCUCAUCAGGAAAUGAACCCUGCAAGACCUCAGUCUUGGAUUUCCAGCCUCCAGAACUAUGGGAAAAUCCAUUUCUGUUAGUUAAACCACUCAGUUUAUGGUAAUUUGUUAUGGCAGCCUGAGCAGACUAAGAUACCCAUCAUAUAGCUAAUUUUUGAAAUGAAAUGUGCAAAGAUAGUUGAAUAUAAUAAAAGUACCUUGUGAGAUAUCAAUAAAAAAAAGUCUUCGAAGUGGUUUAAAUCAAUUACUUAUCCACUCUGCUAUGGCAGUUCCAACUUGGAUUUUAUGUUUAUAAUGAUGCAACAGUCUUCAUGGUGACUUCCUGAAUGUGGAUUCUUCUGUAUCCAUGCUGCUACAAAAUUAAUUUUCCUUUAAAACAUAUACAUUUACUUGUAUUCAUUUAUUUAGCUAAUCGCUCAGCUAUUCAUUUGUUUUUCAUUUAUUCAUUUAUUUUGGAGAAUCAAAGGCAAAGAAGUCAUUGUCAGGGACUGGCAGUCUAGUGCAUAUUCACAUAUAGCUAGAAACAAGAUACCUCAAAAUAUACGUAGAUUACACACUGGGAACUAUGCAGCCCAGAAAGGAGAGACAUUCCUUCAGGUUGGGGUGUAGGAAGCUGAGUUUGAGCUGGAUCUUGGUGUCUGAAUGGGAUUUCAACCAGUGGAGAUGAAGAAAAGAGCAAUUCAGAGAUGAAAUAAUACAUUUCGAGGCAUGAGGAAAAAAUAGCAUGUUCUUUAAGGACAAGUACACAUAGUUUGCUUUUAUUAGUUUAGAGUAUAUGUAGGGAAGAUAAAACUGAAAAACUUCUAAAGAUUUAGAAACUUAGAAAAAAACUUACAAAGUAAAGUCACCGACUAAGUUUUCCAGGUUUUGUUCUCCCUUAUCUCUAGGUAAGGGAGAAUAAUUACAGGAUUUUACAGCAUUUUAUUAAGCAGCAGCAAUAACAACAAUUAAAACAGGAACUUGAGUUUUAGAUCUGCUUUCAGAAUGCCACUGCUAGUUCAUUGUUCAUGAGGUCAUUGAAUCAGCAAUAUUGAGAAAGAUGAUGUGAUCCAGGACGCGAUCAUCCUUGAGAUGGUGAAAUGGGAGUAGACAAAAUCACCAAGGGAGAGAACAUAUAGAAAGAGAAGACUAGAGGACUCAGACCAAAACCAUUUCUGAAUGGGGAGUGGGGAAAAAGGAGGAAGAAGUAUUAAGAGAGCAAGAAUUCUACAAAAUCAGGAUGCUAAAGAAAGGGACUUUCAAAAGGGGGGAUUUUAGUCCCGUCCUGCAUUAUAUUUUACAUGUUUUGGGCUUAUCUGUUUUCCUUUUAAAAUAAAAAUAUGUUUCUAUAUUGUUAGGGCAACAGUUGUUAUUGUUACUUUAACAGUGUUCAACACUGUGCUGAAGGUACUGCUAAGGACAUUGUUAGGCAUUUAAUAAUACUUGCUUAUUGAUUAAUUUUUAUAAUAUCCAAAUAAUGAUAAAAAAUCUCACUUAUUACAUUUAUAAUGAGCAGUUCUAGGUGCAUUACAUGGAUCAUUUAUUUAAUCCCCACAAUGAGCAAAUGAGGUAAUGUUCAUUAUUUCAAUGAAGGUAGAAUAAAAACCUAAAAGAAUAAAAACCUAAAAGAUUCUUCACCCUGAAGAAUCUUGAAAUUCACUUUGAAUUUUAAAACUGUGAGUUGAAACUCUUUAUCUCCCUUAUUUUAAAAAAUAUUUUCCAAGUACAUGCUGUGUGAAAAGCGUUAUAUUAGGUAUUUGGGGGGUGCCCAGGGGAGGCUGGGAAGGCAUGCCUGUUAUCCACAUUGUUAGAAAAGUUUUAUUCUCUUUACCUUAACCCUUAACAACCUUCUCUAGAAAGAAAAAAGCUCAGAUUUCACCCCCAACAAGUUUAUUAGAUAGACCAUUUGAAAAAUUAUAAUUGGAGAUUUCCUAAUUUCGAAACUUUAGAUUUAAGGUUGCUAGUUAAAAAUCUUAAUUCAUAGUUUUUAAAAAACAGAAAAUAAUAACAAGUGUUGGUGAUGAUGUGGAGAAACUGGAAACUUGUGCAGUCUCAUUAUUGGUAGAAAUGUAAAAUGGUGCAGCUGCUGUGGAAAACGAUAUGGAGAUUCCUCAAGUAAUUAAAAUAGAAAAACCAUAUAUGAUCCAGCAUUUCCACUUCUGGGUAUACACACAAAAUAAUUGCGAGUAGCGUCUCAAAGAGGUAUUUUUACACCCAUGUUUAUAGCUACAUUAUUUAUAAUGGCCAAAAGGAGGAAGCAACUCAGUGUUCCUUCAUGAAUAAAUGAACAAAAUGUGGUAUAUACAUAACAACGAAAUAUUAUUCUGUCUCAAAAAGGAAGGCAGGUCUGACAUAUGGCACAACAUGGAUGAAUUUUGAGGCCAUUAUGCUAAGUGAAAUAAGCCAGUCACAAAAAAAGACACACACUGUAUUAUUUCAUUUAUAUGAAGUACCUAGAAUAGUCAAAUUCAUAGAGACAGAAAGUAGAACAGUUACUGCCAGGGAAUAGGAGGAGGGGAGAAUCGGAAAUUGUUGUUUAAUGGAUAUAGAGUUUCAGUUUAACAAGAUGAAAAUAGUUUUGGAAAUUGGCUCCACAAUUGUGUGAACGUACUUAAUGCUACUGAAAUGUACAUUUAAAAAUGAUUACAUUGGUAAAUUUUAUGUAUAUUUUACCACAGUUUAAAAACAAGUAAAACAAUUUAACUCAGUUUUUUUAAGUUUGUUUUUAAUUAUUAUGGGUACAUAAUAAGUUUAUAUAUUUAUGGGGUGCAUGUGAUGUUUUGAUACAGGCACAUAAUGUAAUAAUCAAAUCAGAGUAAUUGAGGUAUCCAUCACCACAAAUAUUUAUCAUUUCCUUGUGUUAGAGAAAAGAUUUUAAUUCCACUGUUUUAGUUAUUUAAAAAUACACAAUAAAUUAUUGUUAACUGUAGUCACCCUUUGUGCAAUCAAAUACUAGAUCUUACUCAUUUUAUCUAACUAUAUUUUCAUGCCCAUUAACUGUCCCACUUAAUUCAGUUAUUCUAUAUAAAGUAUAAAUCUAUUUUAUUAUCAGUUUUUCAUAGCCUUUGAACACUGUGUAUCCUAAUACACAGAAAACCCCACUUAUGUUGUGCAGCUUUGGCUGUGUAUAUGGUACACAUACGGAUUCAAAACUCAAAGAAGGAAUUGGCCAUGAACAAAAGAUAAAGUGAAUAAGUGUUUACAUCCCCACGACUAACAAUGUGCUUAACUAUUCAAAAUGGGAACUUCUUAGAAAACUUUAAUUUAGGUUGCCUGAUAAAAAGCCUAUUUUUGACUUGAAAUGAAGAACAAUUAAUUUUACUAAAGGCUUCAGUAGUGAUGAUAAUACAGGACCUGAUUAUACUUUAUAAUGACACCAGAUAAGGUAAUUUUUAAAAUGUUUUAUUGGAUCUAUGAAAGGAUCAUUGUGUGACCUGCAUUAAAAAAAAAUCUACUCUCCAAAGAAUUAUCUGUGGUUAGGCUAUGAUUAUUAGGUCAAGUUAUGUGUUUGAAGUUGAUUAAUCCCUUUCUUGAGAUGAUUGCCGUAACUCUUACUGUUUACAAUUAAUCCCUUCUGUAAUCUGGCCCUGAGUUAUUUUGAUGGUAAAUCUGAGGAUCCAUGCAGUAUUCAUUUCCCAUAUACAGACACAUAAUGGUGGGCAAUAGUCUUGCCAUUAUCUAUGGAUUAAUUCAAAUUUGAUAGAAUUAUCUCUCUCCAGAGAUAGAUUAUGAAAGACUUUUAAGGGAACAGAUUUCCAUACUAACUUUAAACUUAAUCAGCUAUUUCAUAAUUAUUCCAGGACUGCUACAAGGAAUCCCAUGGCUUCUUAUUAUUCAUAGCAGCAAGAAAAAAAAUGUAUGCAACCUUUCUUCAUUUUAGGAGGUGGCAAAAGGUCUCAGAGAUUACCCUUCACAUGCUAAUAUUUCACAAAUCUAUUAUUUUGGUGGAUUGGUAAAGGAAAAGUAACUUUCAAGAGUCUUCAGUAUUCUUUUCUUAUCCUCAAAAGCAUCUUUCAUGUAACUAAAAUUCUUUCAGUGCUUCUGUAGUUAUUGAAAGAGCUUUCAUUCAUAAUGUUACACUAGGGAAAAUAUUGAGUUUUUGCCAUUUGAAAUGGAAAUGUAAAAUAGAGUUUACUGUUUCCACUGCGUUGUUUUAUCCCUUCAACUGUGGUUAAACAACAACUGGACUUUAGAAAGAUUUCUGAGAAAUCACUGGCCACCAUAAAGGACCGUAUAUCCUGUUUUGCUUCCUUCCUAUCUUGAUUUUACUUUCUACUUGCUAAUAAUUUAUAUAUUAAAAUAAUAUCUUCUAAGAAUUAACUUAUUACGUACAACAUGUAUUACUCUCCCUAUGUUUAUGUUUCUAUCAAAUUACAUGCUGCAUUUUUGCUUGAAGUAGGUAAAAUAUUUAAUUGCAUAGGCAUAUAUGACGUCAAUUAGAAAUAUUUUUCAGUUUUUACUCCGGAGGUGUGCUAUGGUCUGAAUGUGUCUCCCUAAAUUAGUAUUUUGAAACUUAAUCACCAAUGUGCUAGUAUUAAGAGGUGGGCUGAGGUGAGGUGAUAACAUCCUAAGGGCUCCUCCCUCCUGUAUGGGAUUACUGCCGUAUAAGAAAGGCUUCACCCUGCAUUCACCCCAUUUUGCCCUUCCCUCUUUCACCAUGUGAG
rnacentral:lncRNA from 10 species